AUUUGAGUAGUUUAUUUAAAAUAUCAAUUUGUGGAAUUGUGGAAGCUUUAUAAGCCUCAGAUA
rnacentral:tRNA from 1 species